CUCGGCGCCCNUGGAGCAGCCCGGUAGCUCGUCAGGCUCAUAACCUGAAGGUCACAGGUUCAAAUCCUGUCCCCGCAACCA
rnacentral:tRNA from 1 species